rnacentral:rRNA from 1 species
CCUACGGGGGGCUGCAGUGGGGAAUAUUGGACAAUGGGGGGAACCCUGAUCCAGCCAUGCCGCGUGUGUGAAGAAGGCCCUCGGGUUGUAAAGCACUUUCAGUGAGGAAGAACGCCUGGUGGUUAAUACCCAUCAGGAAAGACAUCACUCACAGAAGAAGCACCGGCUAACUCCGUGCCAGCAGCCGCGGUAAUACGGAGGGUGCGAGCGUUAAUCGGAAUUACUGGGCGUAAAGCGCGCGUAGGUGGCUUGAUAAGCCGGUUGUGAAAGCCCCGGGCUCAACCUGGGAACGGCAUCCGGAACUGUCAAGCUAGAGUGCAGGAGAGGAAGGUAGAAUUCCCGGUGUAGCGGUGAAAUGCGUAGAGAUCGGGAGGAAUACCAGUGGCGAAGGCGGCCUUCUGGACUGACACUGACACUGAGGUGCGAAAGCGUGGGUAGCAAACAGGAUUAGAAACCCGUGUAGUC